GUCAGUGUGGCAUAAUGGUUUGAGUGCUGGAAUAUGACUCUAGAGACUAGGGUUCGAUUCACAGCUCAGCUA